GAUGAACGCUAGCGGCAGGCUUAACACAUGCAAGUCGAGGGGUAACAGAAGAGCUUGCUCUUGCUGACGACCGGCGCACGGGUGCGUAACGCGUAUGCAAUCUACCUUAUACAGGAGGAUAGCCCUAAGAAAUUGGGAUUAAUACUCCAUAAUAUCUAAUAACUGCAUAGUUAUUAGCUUAAAGUUUCGACGGUAUAAGAUGAGCAUGCGUCCUAUUAGUUAGUUGGUAAGGUAACGGCUUACCAAGACAGCGAUAGGUAGGGGGCCUGAGAGGGUUAUCCCCCACACUGGUACUGAGACACGGACCAGACUCCUACGGGAGGCAGCAGUGAGGAAUAUUGGUCAAUGGAGGCAACUCUGAACCAGCCAUGCCGCGUGAAGGAAGAAUGUCCUAUGGAUUGUAAACUUCUUUUAUUUGGGAAGAAACCUAUCUACGUGUAGAUAGCUGACGGUACCAAACGAAUAAGCACCGGCUAACUCCG
rnacentral:rRNA from 1 species